rnacentral:tRNA from 1 species
GCCGAGGUAGCUCAACGGUAGAGCAGCGCAUUCGUAAUGCGCAGGUUGUGGGUUCAAAUCCCAUCCUCGGCU